AAAGUAGUGGAAGUUGUAGACAAAUUCCAAAAUAUUUCCAUUCUAUUAUUGAGAGUAGGGGUUCUCCAAAUUGUCAAUGAGUUGCUUUCUGAACGAGCACUCUGGUGUAUGUGGAAGGCAGAAUUCCAAAAUCCACUUGAUUCCUCCAUGUUUCACAACUUUGGUCUCUUCAUCUUCAAGAAACUGCAGGGAGAAGAAAAAAGAUUCUUAACUGAGUGCUCUCCUUCCCAAUCAAGCACUUCUAGUACUUGUUGAGUAGGUGAACAAUAGUGCUAUCAAAGGAUGUGUACCAGCAGAUACUCUCAAGAUGGAGAUUAUUCACAAUCCAAAGGGUCUUAGUUUCUGUUGGUCAAGCAUGUGUACCAAGGUUGCAAUGUUUUUUUAUAAAUGCCUGAUUUAGCUAACAUUCAUUUUCCUGAAAAGGAUGGGGUCAAAGAUCUGCAAUUUCAGCUUGCUGUUGCUGUUGCGGUUAAAUGAUGAACUAUUUGAAGUCUGAAGAUCGUGCCUCUGAAGACAAUUCAGAGCAAGUUGAAGCAAGUAGGUUUUUUAUUUUGUUCAGAUUGUUUAAAGGUGUUGCCAUUUGUGCUUACACUACAAUUCUAUUUUUUUAGGAGUUGAUAAGAAUAUUGUCAUGCUAUUUGGAUGAAUAUAUUUUCU